rnacentral:rRNA from 2 species
AUACAUGCAAGUCGAGCGAAUCGAUGGGAGCUUGCUCCCUGAGAUUAGCGGCGGACGGGUGAGUAACACGUGGGCAACCUGCCUAUAAGACUGGGAUAACUUCGGGAAACCGGAGCUAAUACCGGAUACGUUCUUUUCUCGCAUGAGAGAAGAUGGAAAGACGGUUUACGCUGUCACUUAUAGAUGGGCCCGCGGCGCAUUAGCUAGUUGGUGAGGUAAUGGCUCACCAAGGCGACGAUGCGUAGCCGACCUGAGAGGGUGAUCGGCCACACUGGGACUGAGACACGGCCCAGACUCCUACGGGAGGCAGCAGUAGGGAAUCUUCCGCAAUGGACGAAAGUCUGACGGAGCAACGCCGCGUGAACGAAGAAGGCCUUCGGGUCGUAAAGUUCUGUUGUUAGGGAAGAACAAGUACCAGAGUAACUGCUGGUACCUUGACGGUACCUAACCAGAAAGCCACGGCUAACUACGUGCCAGCAGCCGCGGUAAUACGUAGGUGGCAAGCGUUGUCCGGAAUUAUUGGGCGUAAAGCGCGCGCAGGUGGUUCCUUAAGUCUGAUGUGAAAGCCCACGGCUCAACCGUGGAGGGUCAUUGGAAAACUGGGGAACUUGAGUGCAGAAGAGGAAAGUGGAAAUUCCAAGUGUAGCGGUGAAAAUGCGUAGAGAUUUUGGAGGAAACACCAGUGGCGAAGGCGACUUUUCUGGUCUGUAACUUGAACACUUGAAGGCGCGAAA